rnacentral:tRNA from 1 species
GCCCGGGUGGUGGAAUAGGUAGACACGCAGGACUUAAAAUCCUGUGAGCAGCAAUGUUCAUACGGGUUCGACUCCCGUCCCGGGUA